rnacentral:rRNA from 1 species
UACGGAGGGUGCAAGCGUUAUCCGGAUUCACUGGGUUUAAAGGGUGCGUAGGUGGGUUUGUAAGUCAGUGGUGAAAUCUCCGUGCUUAACAUGGAAACUGCCAUUGAUACUACAGGUCUUGAAUUUUCUGGAGGAUAGCGGAAUAUGUCAUGUAGCGGUGAAAUGCUUAGAUAUGACAUAGAACACCAAUUGCGAAGGCAGCUAUCUACAGGGACAUUGACACUGAGGCACGAAAGCGUGGGGAUCAAACAGG